GCUAGCGAGCGCAUUGAAAUCGGUAUCACUAGUGUGACUAUGACGGUGGUUGCUUUUUGGUGUCAUUUUAUCGCAAUAUCGGGGAAUGCAUAUGGAGGUAUUUCCUCUAUAUCUAAGCAAGUUAAGACAUUAAUACUGUCAUGAAGCAUAUCAAUGUUCUCAUUAAUAUAUUCUCUUUCGUGUUGAAUGCUGAUAUUUUACAAUGAUUGCUGAUAUUAAUGAAAAAACAGAAAGAUAUCAAUGCACAUGCAAAUUUUUGCCUAAAAACAUGAAAAUUUUGGCAUCAAUUCUUAUAUUUUUCAAAAAAUAUUUACCGGACUGUUCUGAAAACACUUGCAAUCGAUUUUUACUGUCUAAAUCAAUGUGAAAUGCGUAUUUAUUUAAUAUUUUUCCAUAGUUUGUGCAAAAAUAUGAAAAUAAUUGAUUUUCAUGAAAAAUUCAAGAUGGCCUACAAAAAUGGGGCCCUAUGGGCCCCAUUUUUGUACAGUGUACAUGAUUUGACAGGAUUUGACAGUGUACAGGAUUUGACCCGGCAGCAACACAUUUUCUUGACCACUGAUAUCAUGCCAACAUCUUGGGACCAUCAAACCUUUUGUGCCCGAUCAGCUGAAUAAACUCUCCCAGCCCCCGGAUUAUAAAGCAGAGAGAGUGUGCUAAGAGAGAGGAAGGGAGAGAGAUUGCAAGAGAGAGAGAGGGGAAGAGAGAAAUCGAAACUUCAGAAAGCUGGGAGAUUGGGAUUGAGACCAUUCAUUUAUGUACAAGAGUGUGCUCGUCCAUUCGUUCAUGUACAAAUUGAUGAAGCUAUACAUAGAACUAUCGGCGAAGUCCAUGCGCCUGCGCACUUCAGUUUUUUAGCUCAACUUAUGAAUAAUUCAUGUACCAUAGCGUUUCCAUGUACGGAAAAAAUAUUCGCCGGCGCGGCCGGGGGCGGCGCGGCGACAGGCUUGCGCAUGCGCACUUGCCGCCAACAUUUGAAAAGAAUUCCGUUGUGUUGCAGUUUAUUGAGCUAGAUCGAGAAGUGCAACGAAGAAGGCCGUUAUAAUUCUUUUAUAGAAUACGGGCCAGAUAUGGACAACGACUUCGAAGACAUUUGCAGUAGGCUAAACAGUAAGUUAGAUAACGAUUUUCUAUGAUUUUCUUUUCGUAUUUUGUUAAAUGCUGCGGCUUGCAGCUUGCUUCGUCACUGAAAAUGACAAGUGACACUUGCAUCCCAUCGCAACCGGGCGGUCGCCUCGGCCCGAGCUCUCGCUCGCUGCUGUGGACCACUGCACUGGCGGCCGGCUGGUGAUCCCCAACCCCAAGUCUGCACACCUAACUUACCGAUUUGAGUUAAGAUUUAACGUGAAUUUCCUUUUGUUUUACAAAAUCUUUCAAUUGAUGAUGUUCCUUGUAUUCUUAUGAGUAAGUGUGCAGAAAGUCUUCAUACUAUGUAAAAAUUUGAGAGAAAUAAUUGAUUUUCUUGGAAAAUAAUCUCGGCCAGUCAUGGUCAUUUUGAUUUUCAGAUUUGAACAAAAUGAUUAGUGGUAGUGCCUGAUGUGCGAUGUCUGCGGACUCAUUCACUUUACACAGGCCUAUUACACACGAUGUGAAGAGUUCGAUAAGAAAGCAAGCACCGAGGAACCUCGACUCUCGAGCGAAGUUCGUGCAGGCUCCAUCCACUCCACUUACUCGGCCUCGGGUAGGUGGAGUGUAGUGUAGUGGUAGUGAAGUGGAGUGGAGCCUGCACGAACUUCACUUGAGGUAGCACCGAGGCUGCAUUUUGAGGCCGUCACAUGAAAUGCCCUGGAAAGAGUUCCAUAUCCAAUGCACCCCCCCCCCCACCAACAUGACCAAAAAUAACAAAAGAAUGCGACACAAUUCCGGUUCGUUCAGAUUUGUCUAUACUUUUUUUUUGUACCGUUGUGUUGGCACCUUAGUUGGGACUUGAACUCGCCUCGUUUUAUCUGCAGUCAAGCCACCUGUUCCUGUUAUGCUAGCAAGAAGCGCUGAUACCGGAAGGGGUAUUUUAAUGACUAUCAGCCGAUAGUUCGACUAGACUUGACUCAGACUCUUUACUGACUAAAUAAACCAAUGUCUAUGGACAAUUACACACACUAUAUACAUGCUCAAAAUUUGAUGGAAUAAAGCCAUAUUUUAGUAUGUAUUUCCAUUCCCCCAUCAUAUAUGUUCCAUAUUGGGCUAGAUAUAUUAUUCUGAUCCUUCUUCGUGUUUUUAUUUUCAAUUUCAGUGGGGGUGCAUAUGGAACUCUUGCCAAUGCCCUAAAUUCAUUAUUUUCCCACCAUUUUGAGUCAGAUUUUUUAUGAAUAGAUCUGUUUAUGACAUUUCAGGAGAAAGAGAGGGAGAACCAAAACUACCUGUCCUGGCGUCACACUUGAGGAGAUGAAGUCGGUGAAUAUGACCUAGCCCGGGGGAGUUUCCAGAAGAAGGCCCACAACCGCUGGUCGCCAGGAGUGGAGGUCCUUUUUAAUUGUUGUUGCCCUACAUGUGCGUGCCAGGCGGCAUCAGGCAGUAGCCCUGGUAGAAGCACCAUUAUCAUCUUGAUACCAUCAUCCAGACUCUCAUCAGCUGUAUCAUUAUAGGUGGACUAAAAGAACAAUAAUCAUGCAGAUAUAAUGAUGCUGAAAUGGAAGGUGUCCUGAAUCUGCACCCAGUCAUCUGGUUUUGUAACACCCUUUAUAGCGCUAUUGGAACCGGCUCCCUACCAGUAUAACAUCGAACAGAUUGGAAGAAUAAAGGCCAAUGGGAAGUGUUUUUUAUACCCCUACUUGCCACACAGCAGUCUGUGGUUAAGCGCAAUCUAAACUGGACUAAUGUAAUGCUCUUAAUGCUUGAAUUAGGGUGAUCUGGACCGACUGCAGAUAGUGCAGAAUGCUGCAUCUAUUGUGCCAUUUGCCAUACGCCCACAUUCCUGAUCAUCUUUGCUCUGGACUUGGAACAACACUGUCACUGCCUGGUAAUUUGAAUUUUAAAAAAAUCUCAUGUGCUGACUAGGAUGGCAUCUCAAAGUGCUUUGUAUCUCACAAAAUAAUGUGUUGUGUAAAAGCGAACAGGCAUUGAGGUCAAGCAUAAGGGUAACCAUGUAUAUGGCCUUUGAUUACUUUUUAACAAAACUGAAAAAUUCAUCAAAAUAGGACAAGGGAUAAUAAAGUAAUGUAUGACAUUCUAAGCUCUGCAUUAUUUUAGUGAAAGACCUCUAAGCAUAUGCAAGUAGCAGGCUGAUGAUGUAAUGUCAUACAGAGGUACAUGUACAUGUAUCCCCAACUUAUUAUUUUGUAUAUAAAAUUGUGUAUUUAAAUUGGAUUGUAAACUGUAUUGAUGUUACUUACCUGUAUUGAUUAUUGCUGUUCUUUUGCUACAUGGGAUUCGAAGACAUACUUAUUACACAUAUGAAAUAAUUAUUAUUUCAUCUGGUAACAGAACAAUAAAAAUGUGGGCAUGAUAUCAUAAACUUAUCUACUUGCAUGUGUUAAUGACCAAUUUUUGUAAUUAUUUUUUAUCAGAUUUUGAUAAAAUUUUCACUAUUUUUGCAUCGUAAAAAUUACUUUAUUUAUCAUAGAUAUAAUUAUGAUGAUCCCGGAUCAUAUACAAGUACCCCUUUAAAGAUAAGUUACCAUUUGAAGUAACAAUCUUAAAAUGAGUUCGAACAGAAUCCAAUAGAAUUACCAGCAAAGUGUCUGUAUGUAACAGAUACGUGCCAAAUAGCUCGGGAAGAAAAUGCGUAAUUACUGAGAAAUGAGCAAAAUAAGCAUGUAAAUCUAUCAAAUGUCGGGUAUUUUUUCGAAUCAAUUAUGAUACACUGUCCUGCCUCACAUAUGUUUUUUCUGUGUUAGUGAUCAUCAGAAUUAUUGAUUUUAAGUUCAAAAUUCAUGAUUUUACAAAGAUACAAGUUUACAUUAAUGUACCAGAUCUAGAUUAUGUACAAUACUUUGACAAUUAACCUUAAUUUAAAAGACGUUCUCAAGAAAUAAUUGUUUGCUGCAACUACUCUCUUUUACCCCUUAGUGUUAGUAUAAUACAACCACAAACUUUUCAUAAGGGUUGAUGUACAUGUAUGAUUCUUUCACCAAAAUGCGAGCUUCCAUAAAUCCUGAAAUCAUUGCAACUCAGGCAUUUUUUUUUACAUAAAUAUAUUUUUACCUACAUUACAUAGUUCUCUAAAGUUGAAGGUAUAUUUUAUUACAAUUUCAACAAAAAAGCUAAAUUUUUGGAGAUAAUUACUAUUCACAAUGCCUCUGUUACAUGCAUGUAUUAAUGUGUAUUUAUGUAUUGGUAUAACAAACAUUGUAAUUAUUUCAUUCCUUUGACCCUAAUACGGCAUUUUCAUAGAAAAUAUUUUUUUUAAAUCUAUUUAGAGUUUUUAAACUUGUUCUUUUCCUUUUUUUUUUGCUGGGAAUAUCAUGUUAUGCAACUUUUAUAUAUUAAUAUAAUAUUUGUCAUGAUUUCC